GAAAUGCGAUAAGUAAUGUGAAUUGCAGAAUUCAGUGAAUCAUCGAAUCUUUGAACGCAACUUGCGCCCUUUGGUAUUCCGAAGGGCAUGCCUGUUUGAGUGUCAUGAAAUCUCAACCACCAGGGUUUCCUGAUGGCUUGGAUUUGGGUGCUUGCCUUUUGUAAGGCUCACCUUAAAGGAGUUAGCAUGAUGAGUAGUGAUCUGUCUGGUGUAAUAAGUUUCGCUGGGCUAGCUAUGAAGCGUGCUUCUAAUCGCCUUUACAGGCAUGUUAUUAUGACUCUGACCUCAAAUCAGGUAGGACUACCCGCUGAACUUAA
rnacentral:misc_RNA from 1 species